rnacentral:rRNA from 1 species
AGCGAACGCUGGCGGCAGGCUUAACACAUGCAAGUCGAGCGGGCACUUUCGGGUGUCAGCGGCGGACGGGUGAGUAACGCGUGGGAACGUGCCCUCUGGUUCGGAAUAACUCAGGGAAACUUGAGCUAAUACCGGAUACGCCCUUUUGGGGAAAGGCUUGCUGCCGGAGGAUCGGCCCGCGUCUGAUUAGCUAGUUGGUGAGGUAACGGCUCACCAAGGCGACGAUCAGUAGCUGGUCUGAGAGGAUGAUCAGCCACACUGGGACUGAGACACGGCCCAGACUCCUACGGGAGGCAGCAGUGGGGAAUAUUGGACAAUGGGCGCAAGCCUGAUCCAGCCAUGCCGCGUGAGUGAUGAAGGCCUUAGGGUUGUAAAGCUCUUCUAUCCGGGACGAUAAUGACGGUACCGGAGGAAUAAGCCCCGGCUAACUUCGUG